rnacentral:lncRNA from 1 species
CUGAAACAAAUAUGAAUACCAGAACUGUAGAUAUAGAGUGUCAUAGUUUAGGUUUCCUGAGAGCAGACCCCAAAACAAUGAUCCAAGUGCAAGUAAUUUAUUUGGCUGAUGAUUCCAGGAAAUACUGGGAAGGGAGUUAGGGAGACAGAAACCAGAAGAUAGAAACUAAAGGCCACUUCAUUGAACACAUCACAAUGGUGCCCACACCAGCGAAGGAGCCAAGAGGUCAUUAGAACUCCAUUUUCCACUCUUGAUACUGCUCAUUGAAAACAUUCAUUCCUCUUCCAUUCCUUUACCGAUGAGAAGGCGAGGCUAUAGUGAGAUGGGGGUCUUCCUGUGCCACAUCACCAAGCACCAUCGCUACUGGGUCCCCACACACCUAUCCUGUACUAGCAGAGUCCAUAAGAGCACUGCAAAAGAUGAUACAUUUCAGUACGAGUGGGGCUCUCUCUCCUAGACGCCAUCUCUAACCCUUCUGAUAAGUGUUCUUUAGGUGGUUCUCACUCCAGUGGAGCAAUUCAGCAGAAUAAAAAUGAUUUAUGAUAAAACUACAAAGCUGCUGGAAUGUACAUGAAGAUAUUGAAAAGUUGUUCGCUCACACGAAGAAGGAAGCAUGCAGACAACUGGAGGGGAAACAAGGCAGAGAGGAGCUUCAUUGAGAGAAAGAACAGCUCUCAGGAUACCCAAAGUGGGUAGCUCCUUUCUGCAGGCAGGUCAUCCAGACAAGAGUCCAGUUCUCAGCGGAGAGGAGACCCAGAGUGGGUAGCUCCUUUCCACAGGCAGGUCAUGCAGGUGAGCUGAGAAAACUUGAAGUGGGUAGCACCUUCUCACAGCUGGUAGUCCCAGUGUCUCUGUGAGUCUGGCUGAGUCCAGGGGUUUUUGUGGGCUUCAGAAGGGAGGAGGUGCAUGCUGAUUGGUCUAUGGGUAACCAUGGGUGGGCCCUAAAAAGCACCGUAAGUUCUCGCUCUUGGCACAGAUUCCACCUGCAACUGGCAGCCUGGGCCCCAUGCUUCAGGCCAUCCCUGGCUUGAAGAUGGGGCUUCACUCACCCCUUUCUGCCCAGGAGCCUGUCUGCUUCCUGCUGCCAUCAAUCAUGUCAUCCACAGCAUCCACCCAGGCUGUUCAAGUGGAGCGCAUGUCAAGCCACCCUCACCCACCCUGUGCCCCCCACCAUGCUCCUCAGCGCCCAAAGUCCGGAGGGGGCUGAGGAGGCAGGGGGCUGAUGUGUCAGCACUGCCCUGAGCAAGCAUACACCCAGCCAGGUUGCGACAGUGCCUGCCUGGGCUCAGCCUCAACUUUGCUCCAAAAUCAGAGCAGGCACUGGGAGAGAGGAGAGGCCAGUCCACGGGGACAGACACUUCUGAGACUGUGGGGGAAGAGGGGCUUCCUGGCCCGAGAGUACAAGGAUGCCUGGGUCUGGAACUGCAACAGGGCAGCUGCAUCUGUGCCUGGUGAGCAGACAGACCCUGACCCGCCAACUUAGAAGGGGAUGGAUCCCCCACUCCUGCUCCCCAUCCCCCUCCCCAUGGGGCACGCAGCCCCAGACACGCCUUCCCAGCUGCAGCCCAAGUCUUCACAGUGGCCGUUCUAGACGGGCUGCCACUGCCAUCAUAUAUAUGUGUGUACGCACUAAAAAUAGAAUUCUUACAAAGUAACUAAAAACAAAGAAGACAAGUGACCUAGUAGAAAAAGAAGCGGAGUAUAUACACAUAUAUGAUGAAGCAAUUCACACAAGAACAAAUAUGGAUGGUGAUACAGUUUGGCUCUGUGUCCCCAUCCGCAUUUUAUCUUGAAUCGUAAUCUCCACAUGUUGGAGGAGUGGCCUGGUGGAAGGUGAUUGGAUUAUGGGGGCACAUUUCCCCCUCACUAUUCUCCUGAUAGUGGAUAAGUUCUCAUGAGACCUGACGGUCUACAAGUAUGUGGCACUUCUCUCUCUGCUGCUCCACAAUGUGAAAAUGAACUUGCUUCCCCUUCACCUUCUGCCGUGACUGUAAGUUUCCUGAGGCCUCCCAAGCCAUGCUUCCUGUUAAGCCUGCAGAACUGUGAGUCAAUUAAACCUCUUUUCUUCAAAAAUUACCCAGUCUCAGGUGUUUCUUUACAACAGUGUGAGAAAGGAUUAAUACAGAU